GCGCGAGGUGGCCGGACUGAGGCGCGGCUUGCUGUGCCGAGGCUGCAGGUCCCCCGUAGACACACCGGCUGGGACGCCUACCCGCCAGCCUGAGUUCACACCUCUGUGGGGGAGCCAGGAGGGGAGGUGGCUACGAGAGCCCUAGGAGCAGAACGGGGAAAUUAAAAAAGAGGAAUGGGCCAAAGCGUGGGGACAAGGGAGGCGGGAAGUCCCGGAGGGCCUCUCUUUGCAGAUGACUUUAGAGUCCGGGAUGGUAAGAGGACGGCUGCCCGGGAAGAUCUGCAGGAAGGGUGUUCCGGAAGGAACCUCCUGCCUGGAGGGGUUGCCUGGAGCCAAAGGUGUUGCCUGAGAACGAUUGAUCCACUCCCAAGACUUGAUCCACAAAACACUGAGCUGAGGCCGCAUGGGGAAAUGGAGCCAGAAUGCCAGCCCAGCUGUGCGUGACCUACAGCCCGUGGUCUUCUGCUAUUACCUUGCUUCUCUACACGUCAUCUCUGGCCCCUGGGAAUUUACCUUGUGGACUCAGCAGAGGUUGAGAGAACUUUAGAAGGAUGCUCUCUCUGCAGCGCUGUUUAUAAUAGAAAGUGGAAAGCACCAAAGCCAGGUUAGAGAAUAGCUAAGCAAAUCAUGGCCCACCUCACAGUAUUUGAAAAUGCUAAUUAUAAAGGUAACGGAAACACAAGGAAAGGCCAAAGAUAAUACAGUAAUUUUAAAAAGCCACAUGCAAAAUGGUCUGUACGCUAUGAUUACACUUGUGUCAAAAUACAGUCAUGUGUAGGGACUGUGAUAGAAUGUAGAAAUUCUUGUGUUGGGGAAUUCUUUAAAAUUCUUUGGUUGUUAAGGUAGUCUUUUUCUCCAUGUUCAAAACUGUGCUUUACACUUGUUGCUAAUCUGUUACUCUAGUUAAAGCAUCAGUGUGUCUGAAUCCCUUCUCUUCCCCCCGAAAGUCUAGGUGAGGUCUGUCUGCCUCUGUGACUUUGCUGAGCCAUCACAUACCUGAUUCACGGAGUUGUCAGGCAGUGAUACACCUUCUUACAGUGCCCUGUGCCUUGUCUUCUUGGCACUUGAAACAGGAUAUGUUAUUGAACAUGUAGCGUGUACUUCACAUCCUCCACCACCAGCUACUCCCUUUAAGUACGGUAAUUCCUUCCUCCUAAGACUUAGCCCGGUACUGGAGAACCAAGAAUCAAAAGCCUCAGGUCAAUAGCGCUUCUGGGCUUUUGGAAAAAUCUAAACUCAUUGCGGGGAAUGGAGCCAUAAGGAGAGAAGGAAGAAGGGCUGUGAGAAGCUAGGAGGAAUAUUCCCAGGCCAUAUAACAGACAAGGAGCAUCUGCCUGCCCUCAGAGAAACUAGACCUCAAAGCACUAAUAAAAACCACAAUGGCGAUGGAACUAACACAAGGUACUUAUCAUGAACCAGAAACUUAUCGUGGGAAAAAAUUAAUAAAUGUACGUGUGUGUAUAUUUUUGUUUAAUCUUCAAAACAAUGUUAUAAGUAGAUACUCUUAUGAUCCCCAUUUUACAGAUGGGGAAACUGAAACGGGGUGGUUAACUUUCUCAGUCACUCAGCGUCUAUAACUUCCUAGUAACAGAGUCAGGAUUCAAACUCGAAGAGCCAGUGUCUUCACCACUAUGUUGUAUCAUCUAUGGCCCUCAAGGCCCUGGAAUGGAGCCAUGAUGGGCCCCAAGUAGGUAGAAAUGUCUCACCAAGUUUCUCCAUAUCCCAAACCCAACACAAAAGCCACAAAGCCCCAAGACCUCGAGGUUCUCUGAUGUAGUGCUAAUGGGCAUUAUCUUAAGAAUGAUCAAAGUCAACAGACACCAGAGGGCAUUGCCUGUUUCCAUAACACCCCAGGACCUUUGCACAACCCAAGGAAGGCAACCCUCUCCCAAUAAUGGGUAACCCAGUGAGAUGAGAAACUCAGAAAUGGAAUUAAAUUGAUGUGAGAAGAAGAAAAAGGGAUAGAUCAGAAUGUCUGGGUUUCACUUUGGCUCUUCAUUUACCGUCUAUGUGACCCUUGCCCUGACUCCCUUUCUGUCAUGUGUAACAGGGCGAUAGUAAUGGUCCACUUACCUUGUGAUUUGUUGUGUACAUUAAAUGCCUUAGUACAGGUAAAGCACUUGGAACAACCCCUGGCACAUUAGAAAGGCUAAAUAAAUGCUGUCUGUCAUUA